UGUUUGCAUGGGAAUAUUUUACUUGGUUAUACUGUAAUAUAGACUAAAUAAAGUUGAUGUUUCUCAGUGGUUAAUUUAUUGUGUGGUAAUUACUAUCAGAGACAUUGUACUGCAAGACGUCCAGUUAUUCUUUUGCAAUAGAUCUUGUGCAUAAUGAUGUCACAAGGCUUGAUGCCUGUGAGGAAUGCUGGUCUUAGUACUCAUCGCCCGGAAAAAUUAAACAAUUUAUCCACUAUCGACAUUUUCCUGGGCCAUGACUACAAUACCAGCAUUCCUUGCGGACAUUAAGCCUUGUGACAUCAUUAUACAUAAUGUC